UGGGAUGUAGCCAAGCGGUAAGGCAGCGGAUUUUGAUUCCGCCAUUCGGAGGUUCGAUCCCUCCCAUCCCAGCCA
rnacentral:tRNA from 6 species